rnacentral:rRNA from 1 species
CAAAUCUUGACAUCCUUUGACCCUUCUAGAGAUAGAAGUUUCCCCUUCGGGGGACAAAGUGACAGGUGGUGCAUGGUUGUCGUCAGCUCGUGUCGUGAGAUGUUGGGUUAAGUCCCGCAACGAGCGCAACCCUUAAGCUUAGUUGCCAUCAUUAAGUUGGGCACUCUAAGUUGACUGCCGGUGACAAACCGGAGGAAGGUGGGGAUGACGUCAAAUCAUCAUGCCCCUUAUGAUUUGGGCUACACACGUGCUACAAUGGACAAUACAAAGGGCAGCGAAACCGCGAGGUCAAGCAAAUCCCAUAAAGUUGUUCUCAGUUCGGAUUGUAGUCUGCAACUCGACUACAUGAAGCUGGAAUCGCUAGUAAUCGUAGAUCAGCAUGCUACGGUGAAUACGUUCCCGGGUCUUGUACACACCGCCCGUCACACCACGAGAGUUUGUAACACCCGAAGCCGGUGGAGUAACCAUUGGAGCUAGCCUCGAA